rfam:Camelus ferus unplaced genomic scaffold scaffold823, whole genome shotgun sequence.
GAGGGUAUAGCUCAAUGGCAGAGUGCCUGCUUAGCAUGCAUGAGAUCCUGGGUUCAAUCCCUGGUACCUCCA